rnacentral:rRNA from 1 species
UACAGAGGGUGCAAGCGUUAAUCGGAAUUACUGGGCGUAAAGCGUGCGUAGACGGUAGCGUAAGUCGGGUGUGAAAGCCCCGGGCUCAACUUGGGAAUUGCAUUCGAGACUGCUCUGCUAGGGUGCGGAAGAGGGGAGCGGAAUUUCCGGUGUAGCGGUGAAAUGCGUAGAUAUCGGAAGGAACACCAGUGGCGAAAGCGGCUCCCUGGUCCAGCACCGACGUUCAGGCACGAAAGCGUGGGGAGCAAACAGG